rnacentral:rRNA from 1 species
UAGAUACCCUGGUAGUCCACGCCCUAAACGAUGCACACCAGUUGUUGCGAUGCUCGUCAUUGCAGUAAUACAGUUAACACAUUAAGUGUGCCGCCUGGGGAGUACGGUCGCAAGAUUAAAACUCAAAGGAAUAGACGGGGACCCGCACAAGCGGUGGAGCAUGUGGUUUAAUUCGAAGAUACGCGAAGAACCUUACCUAGACUUGAAAUCCUUGGAAUCCUGCAGAGAUGCGGGAGUGCUAGUUUACUAGAACCAAGUGACAGGUGCUGCACGGCUGUCGUCAGCUCGUGUCGUGAGAUGUUGGGUUAAGUCCCGCAACGAGCGCAACCCUCGUGAUUAGUUGCUAACAGUUCGGCUGAGCACUCUAAUCAGACUGCCUUCGUAAGGAGGAGGAAGGUGAGGACGACGUCAAGUCAUCAUGGCCCUUAUGUCUAGGGCUACACACGUGCUACAAUGGUUGGGACAAAGAGCAGCGAUACCGUGAGGUGGAGCAAAUCUUAAAACCCAAUCUCAGUUCGGAUUGAAGUCUGCAACUCGACUUCAUGAAGCUGGAAUCGCUAGUAAUCGUAGAUCAGCAAUGCUACGGUGAAUACGUUCCCGGGUCUUGUACUCACCGCCCGUCACACCAUGGGAGUUGAUUUCGCUCGAAGCCGGAAUACUAAAUUAGUUACCGUCCACAGCGGAAUUAGCGACUGGGGUGAAGUCGUAACAAGGUA